UGUCAAAAUUCCUGACUCAAGCGCCAGAGCGGAAGUAAGAGCGGACUCAGCCUCUGCGCGGAGGGGGUCACUGAGCCUCACCACAGGCGUGUUUGAAAUCGAUUAACCAAAACCCGCUUCUUCGCGCCGUAAGGUCUUUUUUUUCUUUAUUGUUGAGACCCCCAUGUCACGUGUGCAAGGUCUGCGUGCUUGGGCGUGUGUGUGUUUGGCGGGGGCGGUUGUGUUGCAACCUGGGGGAGGGGUGUGCACCAGGUUCGAUGUAUUUCCCCAGCGCUGAGCGGAACAUCAAGACAACCAAGGCAGGGGACACCUACAGGGUUUGCUGCCAAGGACCGGCCGCUCACUGUCCUGCCUCAUCCCCUCUCCCCGCACCUUCCGCGCCCCCGGGGCGCAGCUCCGGGUCCCUUUGGGGCCGAGCAACGGGCGCGUGCCCCGCAGUUGGAUGCCGGGGAGGACUCGGGCUGCGGAACAGAGAUCCCCCCCGAGGCAGGAGAUGGGGACUCUGAUGGUUACCGAGGCAACGAUGAUAGCACUAAGCUAUUUCCCUCUCUGCAAGGAGACCAUUAUUCCGCAUGCAUAGGCCAUUUGCAACAGAGGUCGUCACAAAGUCAUCCACAACACAGCACACGUUUAUUAAACUUUUAUUCGCUUUUUUUCCCCAA